rnacentral:rRNA from 1 species
GACGGCCUACGGGAGGCAGCAGUGGGGAAUUUUGCGCAAUGGGGGAAACCCUGACGCAGCAACGCCGCGUGCGGGAUGAAGGCCUUCGGGUUGUAAACCGCUUUCAGCAGGGAAGAAGUUGACUGUACCUGCAGAAGAAGCUCCGGCUAACUACGUGCCAGCAGCCGCGGUAAUACGUAGGGAGCGAGCGUUAUCCGGAUUUAUUGGGCGUAAAGCGCGCGUAGGCGGCUUUGCAAGCAAGAUUUCAAACCUGAGGGCUCAACCCCCAGUCGGAUCUUGAACUGCACGGCUCGCGUUUGUUAGAG